rnacentral:SRP_RNA from 1 species
AGCCGGGUCCUGCGCAAUGGAGCGGUGUGAACCCCGUCAGGUCCGGAAGGAAGCAGCGGUAAGCACCCAACUCCAUGUGCCGCAGUCAACCUGGCUAUC